AACGCAGUCUCUUAGCGGCGUUUUUAAUGUAAUUAUGAUUAAAAAAAAAAGAAAAUUAGCUAUUUUCAGAAGAGACGUUUCUUAAUCAAGUCUCAGAAGAGACGUCUCUUAUCCUUCAAUCUCCUCUCCUCUCUCGCCAAUCCUUCGAUCUCCUCUCCUUUCUCUCCAAUCCACAGUCUCAUCGGCAUCUUCAAACAACCGGCGAUGCCUCUCAAUUCCCGUUGAUACGAGUCCAUAGCCUUAGGUUUCUUCAAUUCCCGUUCUCCGAGUGUUGUCGUAAUCGGAGAUCAGAUCGACUUCCUGGUUGAAGGACGGCACUGUCUUAUGCUGAGAAGAGUAUCAGAGUAGAUGAGAGGCACAUACCCGCCUACAUAGUGAAGGAAAACUUCCUUUGACUAGCAAAACGACCAGAAGCUGCAGCGAUUGCCUUCAGGGCUGCCCAGAAUUUGAGGUAUGAUCUUCGUUCAUAUCAAGGUCUGGUUAACAGGUGACAAAAAACUGAUAUUCACUUCCAUUGUUGUAUUGUUUUGGUGGUAUUAAUCUUUAACAAGCUUGAAAUAUUGAGGUCAUUUCAGGCUUAGUACAUUCUUAUUUGGCAUUUGGCAAAACCAAAGAAGCGUUGUAUACCUUGGAGCAGCCAUAGCUCUAGCUGACCUACAUCUAAUGGAAGGGAGGAAUGGAGAUGCUGUAUCACUACUUGAACGAUAUCUAAAAGACUGGGCUGAUGAAUCUCUCCAUGCCAAGCUAGCUCAAGUGUUUGCUGCAACGAAUAUGCUACAAGAUUCUUUAUCGCACUAUCAAGCUGCAUUAAGGAUAAAUCCACAGAAUGAGGCAGCCACAGCUGAUGGACCGAAACACAUAGAAACCACCCUAUCACUUUUCUGAUUGUUUUAAAAUAGCACAUGAUGGUUUCGUUAUCGUUCUACUCACCGUUCUUGUUAAGGCUGCUACCUUCCCACUGACCAAAAAGCAGGUCGAAUCUGCAAUGGCUGUGAAGUCUUUGCAGCCUCAAAUUAAGGCUAAUCAGGAACGGUAUGUUGGUGUCAGGUUAACCCAUUUUUCCUGAUGUCAUACUAAGUUUAUAGUUUGUAUCAAUCAAGUUGUUAGGUUUGAGUAAAUAGGUCUGAAGCUGCUUGUUUCAUCAUUAUGGACAGAUAAGUGUUGAGAAUGUUUAAUUUUUUUUUAAGAAACCUUAAUUAAGAAACUUGCAUUGGACAUAUAAAUGUUGUCGUCUCUUAGCGGAGUCUCUUAGCUCACAAUUACUAUUAAAAAAAAAUUAAGAGACCCUAAAUGGAUCUCUAGGUUAAUGAUGCUCUUACAGCACAUGAUUAAAAAAGCUUAGGAUUUAACUGGGUUAACCAUGAUUGCUCUUAUACGUGUCUUGGACUAAUUAUGAAAUAGCAUUUCAUUCUGAUAUAUAAGUUAUAUAAUAUAACACUGUAAAGCUCUAAACAUUUAAAUAGUAAAUAAAAACAUUUACACAAGGUACACUAUUAAGUAUCAAUUAUAUUUUUAUUAGGAAUUAGGUGACAUGACCAUAUGAAAAAAAAAAGAAACUAAGGAUCUAACUAUAACAUAAAUUGGCUAUGAUAUUAUAUUUUAUAUAACAACAAUUGACAAAAUACCCCUACAUGCACGUGUACAAACAGUAAAAGUUGUGUCUUCUCAUUCCCCUGUAAACUGAGAAGUCGUUUUUAAUUUUGAACUCUCUCCCCACAUGCGAAAAAGAAGUUAGAUUUUGAGAGAGAAAUUGCGAGUCUGAUAUGGAGAAUAUAAAAGGUGUAACUCUCACCCUCCCGGCGGUAGCCGUCUGUUUAUUGUGUGAUAUACAAAGUUAGGGUUACGGCAGCAGUUUGAAAGUGACGGUGGCACGGGCGAUCGAAGAGCGAACGGCAGUGCGGGCGAUCGAAAAGAAAACAGCGGCAAUCAAGAUAUGGUUGGAAGGGGAUAAUGGCGAAACAACGAGGCAUGUACUUUCCGCGAAAAGUUAAGCGUGUACCUUCAGACAUGAGGUUUAUCGUGUGUUGCAAUGCUUAUUUUCAUGUAACUCAAUGCCACAGAGUGCAUGAAUCAGUUUGUGCUGAAGGAAGAGGCACUUGAAACUGCAGCUAGUACAUAUGCAAUUGAAGCCUUCUCCACAUUUAACCCAGACCGACUCUUGUAAUAACCCAUUGCUGCUUUCUCCUCUCUUUAACUUUCUUCCGUUGAGACUUGGAACUUAUCGCAUUCCCUAUCCUUUUCCCUAAGCUCCCACUUUGGACUUUUGUGGCAUGCACAUCUCUUGUAUUAUUUCGGAUUGUAUCUUAUUUUCAGUUUAAGGCAUCAUAUUUAUUUAUCCUUCGCUA